rnacentral:lncRNA from 1 species
ACACCUCUCUUCCGGCUGGAGCAGCCUGACCAAGUCCCACUUGCUGUUCUGCCAGGGAGCCUGAUUUUGGCACUGGUGUAUUUCCAGAACCAAGGUGGGUGCCCGGUCUGAGGCCCUAGCGGGUGUCUGGGUCCCUUCCUGGAGGCCCCUUGCCUCCCUCAGCCCUGGCUUUUGGGACUUAGCAGGGGAGGAAGUUUUUUGUUUUGUUUUGUUUUGAGACGAAGUCUCACUGUCACCAAGGCUGGAGUGCAGUGGCACAAUCUCGGCUCACUGCAACCUCCCUCUCCUGGGUUCAAGCGAUUCUCCCGCCUCAGCGUUGCGAGUUGCUGGGACUACAGGCUCAGGACCCUAUGGGAUUGCACAGGUCGCAGCCCAAGCGCAGUACUUGCGCACAGGUCCCAGCCCCUUCCCUCUCUGGGACUUGUCUUCUGGCCCCUCACUCCUGCGAUGAGCUUUUCUUUCAGCUGGUGAAAGGCCGCAGACUUCGAACCUCUGGGCCUUUGUCCAGGACGUUCCCUCAGCGCUCAGUGCCCUUCCUGGUGGCCUCCUACAUCUUCAGAUCCCGGCUGAGCUCUGCUUAAAUCCGGGACCGGGUAGUCACUGGGGCAGCCACUUGGCUGGGGCGAGGCCACCUCGCUUUGGGUCUUGUCGCGCCCAGGCCAGCGCCAGCCCAGGCUUGCCAUGGACUGGCUCCUGGGCGUUAGAUGAAUGAAUCGACUCAACCCGGGCCGCCACGUUGUGUUCAGAACACCGACAGUCGCUCCCAGGCAACCAGCACCUGCUGCGCCCCGUUUCCAGCGACCUCCCCAACCGCGUGGACUCGCAUCCACGUGCCCGGCGGGGCCGCAGCAGAAAGGCUCGGACCCCCCAGGACGAUCGGCCGGUGGGGGCCGGUGGGGCCGCAGACUCGGGGGGCGGGGGGCGCCAGGCUUCCGGGUCCUGCCCCCGCCCCGUGGGGAACAGCAGGACGGCGCCGAGGCCGUUUCGCUUUCCUCCGCGCCCAUUUGCCGGGAGGGGACCCCGUGCUCCGACCUGAAGGUGACGGCAGAGCCUGCGGGAGGCCUAGGCCGGUCCCGCCCUACGGGUCCCGGGGGCGACCCUCGCGCUGACAUUGGCGUCCAGGCCGCGGCCCCUGCCUCCGCGCCCACCCACGCCGGGCCUGGCCCUCGCUCCCCCGGGAAAAGCCCCGCCGGCGGCCGCGAGAGCGCGGAAGCGCAGCCGUAGUGACCGCGAGACAAAGACCCGGCGGCGGGGGAGGCGGCGGAGAGACCCCGCCAGCGCGGAGACCCCAGGGAAGCUUCUCUGGAAGACCUGGUGCUGGUCCGCUCUCCCGGGACCUCAUUUUCCUUAUGUGGACAACGGGGGCGGGGUCACAGCAGCCCCUCGGGCUUAUAGCCGGGUUGUUCUUUCCUUAAAUCUCCUCCCUCUGCCAAAAUAAAAAACCCCACAGGGCAAGGCGCGGUGGCUCACGCCUGUAAUCCCAGCACUUUGGGAGGCCGAGGCAGGUGGAUCACCUGAGGUCAGGAGUUCGAGACCAGCCUUACCAAUUUGGUGAAACCCCGUCUCUACUAAAAAUACAAAAAUUAGCUGGACGUGGUGGCCGGCGCCUGUAAUCCCAGCUACUCGGUAGGCUGAGAUAGGAGAAUUGCUUGGACCCGGGAGGCUAAGGUCAGUGAGCCGAGAUCGUGCCACUGCACUCCAGCCUGGGCGACAGAGGGAGACUCCGUCUCAAAAAAAAGAAA